AUUGAACGCUGGCGGCAUGCUUUACACAUGCAAGUCGAACGGCAGCGCGGGCUUCGGCCUGGCGGCGAGUGGCGAACGGGUGAGUAAUACAGCGGAACGUGCCCAGUAGCGGGGGAUAGCUCGGCGAAAGCCGGAUUAAUACCGCAUACGACCUGAGGGUGAAAGCGGGGGAUCUUCGGACCUCGCGCUAUUGGAGCGGCCGAUGGCAGAUUAGCUAGUUGGUGGGGUAAAGGCCUACCAAGGCGACGAUCUGUAGCUGGUCUGAGAGGACGACCAGCCACACUGGGACUGAGACACGGCCCAGACUCCUACGGGAGGCAGCAGUGGGGAAUUUUGGACAAUGGGCGAAAGCCUGAUCCAGCAAUGCCGCGUGUGUGAUGAAGGCCUUCGGGUUGUAAAGCACUUUUGGCGGGAACGAAAAGGACUGUGCCAAUACCACGGUUCGAUGACGGUACCCGCAGAAUAAGCACCGGCUAACUACGUG
rnacentral:rRNA from 1 species